UGCAAGUCGAGCGAGAUCUUCGGGUCUAGCGGCGGACGGGUGAGUAACGCGUGGGAACGUGCCCUUUGCUACGGAAUAGUCCUGGGAAACUGGGGGUAAUACCGUAUACGCCCUUUUGGGGAAAGAUUUAUCGGCGAAGGAUCGGCCCGCGUUGGAUUAGGUAGUUGGUGGGGUAAUGGCCUACCAAGCCGACGAUCCAUAGCUGGUUUGAGAGGAUGAUCAGCCACACUGGGACUGAGACACGGCCCAG
rnacentral:rRNA from 1 species